AUUGCGGAAGGCACGACGUCUCUCCUCCCAACCCCCCAGGUCCGAAAGGAAGCAAGGGCCGGAGCGAGAGCGGGCGAUGCCUCUCCGCAUUUUU
rnacentral:SRP_RNA from 1 species